rnacentral:tmRNA from 1 species
GGGGCUGUUAUUGGUUUCGACAGAUAUUAAACAUAUUAAGUUGCAAGUGGAAGGUACUCCUUAAGUACAAACAAAAAAUAAAUAACAGAAAUUAUAAUCAAGCUUACGCAUUUGCUUAAUUAGCGUAGCGCUUCUUAAAUUAUUUUACUCACGAAUUUUUUAAGAGGCUCAUUUUAGUGAGUUAUAUUAUUUUAUUUGUUUAGGAUGGAAUAAUGAAUUUUACUAAACUCGUUAUUUGAUGGGUAUGUUAACUACCUUUAUCAUUUAAUUAAAUUUAAUCGUUAACUAAACUUGUAGAUGCUUAAUAUAAUUGGUAUUUGGACACGAGUUCAAAUCUCGUCAGCUCCACCA